AUUGAACGCUGGCGGCAGGCCUAAUACAUGCAAGUCGAACGAGUGGCGGACGGGUGAGUCACGUCUGGGAAACUGCCUGAUGGACGGGGAUAACUCCUGGAAACGGUAGCUAUUACCGCAUCGCAUCGGAUGUGCCCAGAUGGGAUUAGCUAGUAGGUGGGGUAAAGGCUCACCUAGGCGACGAUCCCUAGCUGGUCUGAGAGGAUGACCAGCCACACUGGAACUGAGACACUGUCCAGACUCCUACGGGAGGCAGCAGGGGGGAAGAUUGCGCAGUGGGCGCAAGCCUGAUGGAGCCAUGCCGGGUGAGUGAAGAAGGCCUUCGGGUUGUAAAGUACGUGCAGCGGGGAGGCGGUACCCGCAGAACAAGCACCGGGUAAAUCCGUGCUAGCAGCCGCGGUAAUUC
rnacentral:rRNA from 1 species